AUGAAAUGCAUCACAUCACAACUAAUCAUAUCAAGGAUGAACUUGUCACCAUUUAGCCCUCUACAUAUUCCAAUCAUGCCAGGGGCAUAGUGCAGGCCACACCUGGUCUUUCUCUUAUACAUAACAUAACAUACAUAAUCCAUGGUGCCGGGGGCGUAGUGCAGGCCACGUCCGGUCUUUCUCUUACAUAGUGCCAGGGGCAUAGUGCAGGCCACACCUGGACUUCCAUAUCAUAUCAUCAUGUCAUAACAUAUGAGGGCUAAUGGAUCAUUC
rnacentral:lncRNA from 1 species